GUACAAGAAGGAAGGCAUCGAGUGGGAGUUCAUCGACUUCGGGAUGGACCUGGCGGCCUGCAUCGAGCUCAUCGAGAAGCCAAUGGGCAUCUUCUCCAUCCUGGAAGAGGAGUGCAUGUUCCCCAAAGCGACAGACACCUCCUUCAAGAACAAGCUGUAUGAACAGCAUCUUGGAAAGUCCAACAACUUCCAGAAGCCCAAACCCGCCAAAGGCAAGGUUGAGGCCCACUUCUCUCUGGUGCACUAUGCCGGCACCGUUGACUACAACAUCGCUGGCUGGCUGGACAAGAACAAGGACCCCCUGAAUGAGACCGUGGUGGGGCUGUACC
rnacentral:lncRNA from 1 species